rnacentral:rRNA from 1 species
AACGAACGUUGGCGGCGUGGAUUAGGCAUGCAAGUCGAACGAGAACCGUAGCAAUACGGGGAAAGUGGCGAAAGGGGCAGUAAGGCAUGGGUAAUCUACCUCGGGGACGUGGAUAGCCAUCCUAACGGUUGGGUAAUACACGGCGAUUCGGCGAGGAGGCGUCUUCUUGCCGGGAAAUGAAUUUCGCCUCGGGAGGAGCUCAUGUGAUAUUAGCUUGUUGGCGGGGUAACGGCCCACCAAGGCUCAGAUGUCUAGCGGGUGUGAGAGCACGACCCGCGCCACUGGCACUGAGACACUGGCCAGACACCUACGGGUGGCUGCAGUCGAGGAUCUUCGGCAAUGGGCGCAAGCCUGACCGAGCGACGCCGCGUGUGCGACGAAGGCCUUCGGGUUGUAAAGCACUGUCGAGGGGGAGAAAGCCGCAAGGUUGAUCGAUCCCUGGAGGAAGCACGGGCUAAGUUCGUGC